UCCUGUUCUCCUAGAACUCCAUUGUGGGCGGUGGUGUGCAGUAGAGGAUUAAUCUUGUACAAACAGAGGUUUAGUCUUUGUCCUUGGCUCCCAGAAGGUAAUCACUAAGUCCUUGAAAUGUUCUGCCUGGUAAGAAUGCCUUUGUUUACCUGGGGGGCCUUGGGUCACAAUGGAUAGCCUAACAAUGGGAUUUCCUGUGGGGACUUUGGGCCCCCGGGUAACAGCUGGACCUCUGGAGGCACUGGAGACAAAGAUCAGCCACAUGGCAGUCAACCAUGUCUAUGUGACCAAGUUCCAGUGGAAACUCUGGACACCAAGGCUUGGGAGAUAUUUCUUAAAAGACUCCUCUGCAGGAGAGAACAGCUGUACUCUAAGCAGUUCGCAGGGAGCAUCUUUCAGCAGCUGAAACAGCUUUGCGGCCUUGCUGUAAUGAAGAUCUGCCAGCACUCGGUGUUGUUUCCUAAGGUGUUCAUCACCAACCUAGAACCAAACCAAAACAAGCAACACAUCCUUCACGAGAAAGAAAGAAAACAACUGUGUAAGCAGACAUCAGUGUAAACUCUAGCACUGUCUCUUGAUAAGAGGAGAAUGGCAGUGACAGGAGUGUGGUGGCGAGCCAGUCACCUGCAGUCAACCACGGCCCAUUGCUCUCACCAUGCCUGUUACAUGAAGUUUCAGGCAUCCACUGGGGAUCUGGGAACGCACCCUCCAGGGAUAAGUGGGGACUACUGUACAACACUUAAGUAUAACCCUCUUCACUAUUAACCAAAUGACAUUAAAAUAAGCAAAGAAAAACA